rnacentral:rRNA from 1 species
AAAAUUAGAGUGUUCAAAGCAGGCAGACAUUAAUCUCUGCCACCGAAUACAUUAGCAUGGGAUAAUGGAAUAGGACCCUGUCCUCCUAUUUUCAGUUGGUUUUCGAGGACCAGGGUAAUGAUUAAUAGGGAUAGUUGGGGGCAUUAAUAUUUAAUUGUCAGAGGUGAAAUUCUUGGAUUUAUGAAAGAUUAACUUCUGCGAAAGCAUCUGCCAAGGAUGUUUUCAUUAAUCAAGAACGAAAGUUAGGGGAUCGAAGACGAUCAGAUACCGUCGUAGUCUUAACCAUAAACGAUGCCGACCAGCGAUUAGGAGACGUUGAAUACAAAACACCACCAUCAGGCGGGUCGUUCCUGGCUGGUCUCGCGCAAGCGGGGCUGGUGGGGGCGAUUCGUUUCCCUGAUGGCCCGGUGAA